GUGCAUUCUGGGGUCAUUUUGGCUGUUGGUAGCUUGCUUGGCAAUUGAGCUUGGUGGGUUGCUACUGGUUGGGUGUCUUCGGGGAUGUCUACCGUAAAGGUGCAUGAGUGGUGUUUGGUUUGUUACGGGUGGUUGGCUCUUUGCUUGCGCAACAACUUCUACCUGGCAUACCUCUUCAGUCUUGUGUCAAUGCUUGUAUUGCAUUGAAUGCACGGUGGGUUUCUUGUGUUGCAUGCCUAAUUUAAUGGUAUCGCUUGAUGAAUUGGUUUUCCUUUCGUUUUGCAUUGCCUAUGCGAUGUGAGAUGAACCUUGAAGCAGCCUUUGUGAUCCACUGAUUUGAUGCAUAUGCAUUGAUUUUGUGGCCCAUUGAGUGUUGCUCGGUCUCAUGGAUAUGGAACCUGGUGUGGGCAUGGAAUCUUAAUGGUUCCUUGUUUGCCCAAGUUUAGCUUUUCUAAAACGAUUGUCUAUCAUGUGUUAACAUGCUAGACUACCUCGAAUAUGAAUGCUACCUGGUUGAUCCUGCCAGUAGUCAUAUGCUUGUCUCAAAGAUUAAGCCAU
rnacentral:misc_RNA from 1 species